rnacentral:tRNA from 1 species
GGCGAGGUGGCGGAAUUAGCAGACGCGCGACGCUUAGAACGUCGUUCCCCCUGAGGAGUUGGGAGUGCAAGUCUCCCCCUGGUUAC